rnacentral:rRNA from 1 species
GUGAGGAAUAUUGGUCAAUGGGCGCAAGCCUGAACCAGCCAUGCCGCGUGCAGGAAGACGGUCCUAUGGAUUGUAAACUGCUUUUAUUUGGGAAUAAACUCCGGUACGUGUACCGGCCUGAAGGUACCAAAUGAAUAAGCACCGGCUAACUCCGUGCCAGCAGCCGCGGUAAUACGGAGGGUGCAAGCGUUAUCCGGAAUCAUUGGGUUUAAAGGGUCCGCAGGUGGUCUUAUAAGUCAGUGGUGAAAACCUACGGCUCAACUGUAGAACUGCCAUUGAUACUGUAGGACUUGAAUUCGAUCGAAGUGGGCGGAAUGUGACAUGUAGCGGUGAAAUGCUUAGAUAUGUCACAGAACACCGAUAGCGAAGGCAGCUCACUAGGUCUGGAUUGACGCUCAGGGACGAAAGCGUGGGGAGCAAACAGGAUUAGAAACCCGUGUAGUCC